rnacentral:misc_RNA from 1 species
AUGUCUCCGGAGUAAUCACAUAUAGAGAAUAUAAUCACUACGUUUUGUAAUCAUUUUGACGUCCUUUGGUAUAUAACUUUUACAUAACAUAUUUGAUAUUUAUAAUAUCUAUUUUACAAACAUCUCAAGAUAUCAAUAUCUAAUUUAGUGUAAUUUAGGAAAUGGGCAAAAAUUGAGUUAUAUUAUAAAUUGUGUUUAUUGUUUUAAGGAUGGCUGAAGAAGAAGUGGAUUGCAAAUGUAUGAAGAUCAUCGGCCUUUUAGACGAUGAAAAGUGGCUUUAUUGGCAUUAUAAAUAUCAUCCUAGCCCUGGAUUCUUGGCCUUGGGAGAUUGGACAACAGAUCCUUACAUUUGGCUGCAUUACGUUGAAAGCGCAGAUGGUUUGCUCGCAGAUGAUGACGUACUUAGGAGUACUAACGCUCGUUAUUGGUCUAUACACGAUGUGCAACGUUAUUUCCUUGGUGAUCUUCACUGUGAAAAGCUUCUUUUUACCUACCAAUACCCGAACUUACGAAUGCCUACUCGUCUUGGCAGUUAUUUUUGGAGAGCAAACACUGCUAUGAAAUUGCCAUCUCAUUUGUAUUUAAAAGAAUUUCAUAGAUCUCUAGAGACAACUAUGAAGAAAAUAGAAGCUAAGCAGAUACAAAUACACCGUUUACUUCUUUCGGAUAAGUUGAUAAAAUUAGAUCGUCUAGACGAUUUUAAAAGAAAAACGUUUCUUCGUAUCCUAAAUAAUGUGUUAAGUUUUCAGGAUCAAUUACAACUGGUGUCAUUAGAGAACUUGCGCUGUAAGCGACUGGAAGGUGUUCGAUUAAUCCAACAGUUGGCAUGUUUUAAUGCUGAAUCACUUAAAUAUUUAUUUCUAUGGAGAUUUGUUUUACCUAACGAAAACCCUUUAUUGGUUAACUAUAGUUACAUAACUGGGAGUGGUCAAUAUAUACCUCGACCCGACACUAAACAGUGCUUUCUGCGUAGUCUGGCACAAUUGAAAAACCUCCGAAUUCUUGCUUUGGAAUACUCACACAUUGCGGAUGGCUCGGGCAACGCUUUACUUUCAUUGUUACCUAUUUUAAAAAGAACUCAUUUCCGUUUACAGUUGAUUUGCCGUGAAGACCAUAUUCCAGGUCAUAAUGAUGCGGCGCUGGGUGGUGGCGGUUAUAAUAUACCGGACACAGCUUGGAGAAGAGUGUCAAUAGUUUGCCCGGAUCUUUAUCUUCUCAUUGCUUUUUAUCUUAUUAGAGACUACGAUAACGCAAGACGAUUUUUAUCACCAAGUAUACCUCUCAGAGAGAUUCACCUACAAUACGGCAUAGAUCUGACAAUGAAACAAAGGCAAGACUCGGAUACAAGCUGUUUCUUUCGUCACAUUGGAUUCUAUUUCGCCAAUAGCUUAGUGACCGUCAGCAUUCAUCAAUGGCGAUUUGCAACAUAUCCGCUGCGGCGAGUAUUUGAGCUUAUGCCCCAUUUGGUGCGCUUUUUCUACAUUGGCCGAGUGCAAGAUGAAGUAGAUCUCAUAAGCAUGCUUAACUUAGUCUCUUGUGGUGUCUGCGAUAGUUAGUAUCCUCUACCAUUUGAAAAUCAACGUAGAUACCCACUUUAUUAUUCUUCUCAGCUGACAACCAGUUCUGGCGCUGCCCCUGAUUACGGUGCAGUGCUCAUCGUAAAACACGCAAAUGCAUCCUACGACUGUAAAGAUCGCAAUCCUGCAUUACUAAAAAUAUUGUUAACGAAACUUAUAUUCCUUUUACCCGCUACUUAAAAGUCGCGAGCAAAAGGAAAUGCGGUCGAAGCAAAAAAAAUCGUGCUUACGAAAUAUCCGAGUGGAAGCUGUAGAAAUUUAUGAUCUUGCUAAGAAUAAAAGAAGAUAUGUUGAUAAGAAUUAAAACACCUUAAAAUUCAAAUACAAGAUGAAGACUCCAAACGAGAAUACUGGAAGAACGUAGUGGAAAAUAUAGUUGAAAAAUAC